GCCUUCUGGCAGUUUCUGGGAGCUGCGAACGCGCCGCCCCGGGGCUCGGCGGCCGGAAACGCUGGCUUCGGAGCCUUAGGCGCCGCGGCCUUUCCUUGUUUUCCGCCCAGUCCACGCCGCCAUGGCCAAGUGGGGCCAGGGGAACCCCCACUGGAUCGUGGAGGAGCGGGAGGACGGGACCAACGUGAACAACUGGCGCUGGCGCGGCUGGCGGCGGCCUCCUUCCGGGAUCUGGGGAGGGCCGGGCCGCGGGAGCCGGGGCUGCCCUGGGGUCUGUGCGGGGCCGCGGGGCCAGGGGGUCAGGGGGCCGCCCCCCCUCAGCUGCUGGACGCAGGGCUCGGCCUUCGCCUCUCGGCUCGGGAGAGUCCUUGAGUACGGAGACCGGCUAGGAGGGUUGCAGCUGCCUCUUUUUGAAAGUUGGGUUGGGCCCCAAGAGUGACUUCCGACAGACCUUUCCACUCCCACCGUCUGUGGCCUGAGGGCCUUCCCUUCUCCUCCCGCCCACCCCUCUGGAUGUUUCGGGGAGUUAGAAGGGAGCUGGAUUGAGAGACUGUGUUAGGGGCGGGGGUAUGGAACGUAGUGGAAAGGGCAGAAAUUUGGAUCUCAGUUCGCGCCCACCCCGCAGGCGCCUCCCGCGAGCCGGGCCCUCUGUGAGUGAGACAAGCUCCCCUUCCUUUACGCGCCUCACCUGGCGCGUGGGGAGAGGUCGGCAGCCCUCCGCCGCAGAACCUCCGGAAGGGAUGUCCUCUGCCCUGCGCCUCUGGCCGGGGCUGUGGUCCCUCCAGGCCGUCGAGGGGAUGCUGAGGCCGGUCCCCAGAGGAGCAUGACUUGGCUGGUCCGGAGGAGCUCUGAGGGCAUGGGCAAUCUUGGCUCGCUGCAACCUCAGCUUCCAGAGUUCAAGCGAGUCUCCUGCUUCAGCCUCAUGAGUAGCUGGGACUACAGAUGCGUGCCACUACGUCCGUCUGAUGUUUGUAUUUUUAGUAGAGACAGGGUUUCACCAUGUUGGUCAGGCUGCUCUCGAACUCCAGAUCUCGUGAUCCGCCCGCCUGGGCCUACUAAAGUGCUGGGAUUACAGGCGUGAGCUAGAUCUGACUUUCUAGUGUCCUAGCCUUGGCCCGAUGGACAUGUCAUUUCUCUCAGCUCGUUUCUGUCCCCUAAAGUGAGAAUAUUGCCUGGGAAGAUUACAUUAGACGAUGUAUAUGCGAAGACACUUGAUAGCUGGUAUUGUCAUGAUUCUGAUUAGUUCACUACUGCUACUUUCCCUGUGGCCUAGGCUUUGCCUAUUUCCAGUGGGCGAGCUAGCUAGAUCCUCCUCCCUUAAAUAAGCCAGUGUUUUUAAGACAGAAUACUACUUGCAUAGUGGACAAUAAUAUCUUAAAGAACUGAGCAGGAUGAAAAGAAUUUGAUAGAAAGCAGGUUUGAGGAGCACAUUGGAGGUUGGCAGGUUUCGAGGCUGCUUGAGAGGACUUGGGCCGAUCUGGGCUGGGCUUGGACGUGACCCUGGCACCCAGGCAGGUGGAUCCCAGCUGGGGCUUCCAUUCACGACUUUCUGGUCCCUGGCAGGACAGAGCGGGAUGCCACCAGCUUGUCCAAAGGGAAGUUCCAGGAGCUCCUGGUGGGCAUCGUUGUGGAGAAUGACGCUGGCCGCGGCGAGAUCAACGAGUUGAAGCAGGUGGAAGGGGAGGCUUCGUGCAGCAGCCGCAAAGGAAAGCUGAUUUUCUUCUAUGAGUGGAACAUCAAACUGGGCUGGAAAGGCAUCGUUAAAGAAUCUGGAGUGAAGCACAAGGGAUUGAUUGAAAUACCCAAUCUUUCUGAGGAAAAUGAAGUAGAUGACACUGAGAAUUUACAACGGGAAUGAUUUUACCAACGAAAGCUAUGGCAACCCAGGAAUUGACUGUCAAAAGAAAACUGAGUGGGAAUACCCUGCAGGUUCAGGCCUCAUCUCCAGUGGCACUGGGUGUAAGGAUUCCCACUGUGGCUCUUCACAUGAUGGAACUGUUUGACACAACUGUAGAGCAGCUGUAUAGCAUCUUCACUGUAAAGGAGGUAAGUAACUCCCUAAGCUAGCAUGUUAAGUGCUGACAUUGGGAGAAAAUACAUUACAAAGAACAGGAGCUGGUUUUUGGUUUUCCUUGUGGCUGUGUUUUUGAUUGAAGGGAUGUGGGAUGGUGGUGACAGAAGUCUGAGCAUAGUUUCUGAAUAAUUGGAGGGGAGAUGGGCAUUCUUUGGGACUAUGUCCGCAUUACAUUGAGUUUUCUCCCUCUAGGAAGAGAGAGUUUGUGUUUUAUUUUCUGUAAGUAAAAGCUACAUGUUUAGGAUUUUUAAACCAUAUUAAUUGUUAUAUUUUGUAUUUCAUAAUUAUAUUAUGUGUUAGUGUGUACUGGAAUAACAUGUUUUAUUUGGUUAGUUGGUGCAAAAGUUUUCUAAAUCUACUGCUGUAUUAGAAACUGAAAAGGGAGGGAAAUUCCAGAUGUUUGAUGGGAACAUCACUGGUGAAUAUCUAGGAUUGGUAAGUAGACUCAAGGUUGAAGAAGUAAGGUGGGAUUAACUCUUAAUAUUACUUUUUGUAUAUGCUGUUUUUAGCACCGAAAUCACGAGGGUCUGUGUUGCCUCAACCUUAACAGCAGCCCUCUGUUCUGGUUACUAUUACUGUACUUAAAACAUUAUUAUAUAUUCCUGCUGUCCUUGAUGUUACUGCUGUUCUGAGACAUUUUGGCAAUAAAGACAAUUAUCAGUGGUGCUGAUGUAUAAACUGGAAGAAGGACCGUAUGUUGUUCAUUGAUUCUUCUAGGAGUUUCAAUGAAAGGAUUUUUCUGUGUUGUAUUGUGGGAAGUCUUAAAAGAUUUUCAGUGGAAUUUCCCCUCUCUUUUCAGUUAACAAAUAAGAAGAUCAUCAUGAAAUGGAGAUGUGGGAACUGGCCAGAAGAACACUAUGCCAUGGUUGCACUGAAUUUUGUGCCUACUCUAGGGCAAACAGAAUUACAAUUGAAGGAGUUCCUAUCUAUCUGUAAAGAAGAGAACAUGAAAUUCUGUUGGCAGAAGCAGCAUUUUGAAGAAAUAAAAGGUUCACUGCAGCUGACCCCCCUAAAUGGUUGAAUUAAAAUUUAUUAUAAGGCAUUACUUUUUGUAAGCGGAAAAAGUGUCACAUUUACCUCUUCCCUAUCUUUUGUUUAAAAGGACUGUCUUUAUUUUAUAUUGGAUGAAAUCUAUGAACAUAUAUACAAUGUAAAGCAUUGUUUGACUCUUUAUUAUAACUAGACACUGCAUUGAUUUAAAAGUAGCAAACAACCUGAAAUUAAGUAUUAACCUGACCUUCCAUCGAUAUUCCUCUGGAAAUAGGUAAGUCCUGAGUGCAGAUAGUUGAUGUUUCCCAAGCUGAAGCUUGUCCUAUAGCAAGCUUGCUUGCAGCUGUACUUUUAGUUCAAGAUGACAAAAAAUAAAUGGCAUGUUGACACUAUUCCUUUAUUUUACUUUAGGGUUUUUAAGGUGUGUAGAUCUUAGGUCGUAAAACAGUGGUAUAUUGCAUUCAAAAGCAUGUUGAGGUGAGGGCAAAUUGGCUGUGUUUUGCUCCACAUCUCCCUGCACAUCUCCCUGCUGUGGUUUUGCACUUCGGUGUGGAGAGGAUUGAGAAGUCUGUGGGGACACAUUAGUUCUGUGGACUGCUGGUAACACUUCCAGUGAAACAGCAUAUAAUGGAUAAAUGUUUCCCCCCUCUUUCACGGUUUUCUCACUACUUUCACCUGAGAAGACUGAAGCAACGUAUGUAAACAAAUGAAAAGUCAUCACAAUCAGUUUAAUUAAGUGCACAGAAUAGCAAUCAAUCAAUCAGUCAUGUCAAUAAAAAUAAAACAAUUAUUUUUA